AAUCACUGACAAGCUGGUCUUGGGGCUGGCCCUUGGCCUGGUUGUGGAGGCAGCGUUGCAAUGAAAGGGGAUGCAGCAGCAGCAGCAGCAAUAGCGAUAAUAACAAGGUUCCUGACUAUCCUAUGAACUGACCAGAGUCUGGCUGAGGUGGUGGAACCCCAAAACAUGGCACUGUGGCUAAAGGCAGCAUCAAAUGUGCCCCAUGCCCAGUGGAUCCCAGAGCUGUGAUUACUACUAGCUACGUAGUUGUGAUGCUGUGGGGCCGGACUGGACCCAGCAUGAAGCAGCGCAGCAGAGGGUGCAGUGGGAGCAACAAGCAGCAGCACAGAUGAGAAGCAUCAGAGGUAAUGAUAGCAACGCAACAGUGGCAGAGCCAUAACAGCCACCCACCCACCCACUCACUCACUCACUCUUCCCCAAGACUCUCCUGACUGUGCCCCUGGAUGCUGGGACUUUGCUGACUUUGGACAACAAACGGCUUUUAUAUCACAUUCAUCACUGGAGUAUCUGAGGACCUUCCAGGAGUGCGACUUGACUACAUAGCUGUCACGUGGUGUUUGCUCUCGCAUCCUCUCCCCUGAAGGAGAAGCAUGUGGAACUCCCAUCUACGUGCUCCUGGUCACAGCCCAGCAAAGUCUGCCAAGCCACACAUGGAUUAGUUCUGCCCAUGUUAGCAAUGACUCUCAAGACUCCAUCCGCUCGCUGUAGAGCUUCCAGACAUAGCAUGUGGUGCCCAUAGGCAUGCUCUGCUAUAGAGUCCUCCGCGCAGCUCAGUCCUCUCCAAUGUCACAUCCUCAAUCUCCGCCGCCUUGGGUAGUUUGAGGAGAGCUCGGUGAACACACCCUGUCUCAGCCCAGUCAAGUGCUUCCAUUCAGACUGACCUGUCUUUCUGUGUGGGUCAGUGUCCUGGGGGGCUCUCAAGGGCCUGAAGAUGCUGGGAGGGCUUCGGGCUACAUCCUGUGCAUUGGAUCCAUGCCCUUCAUGGGUGGAGAAGGCCAGUGGGAAGUGCCUGGUCCUGUGCUAAGAGAGGUUGUCAGUGCCUCCCUGCAGGGGGCAGGACGUCAGCCUCGGCCUGUGCUCAGGAAGUCACUGCUUGAAACUGACAAUCUAGUUCAUUUUUGUCCAGGGUCAAAAUGGUCAAAGUCCAGGGUCCCUUUAUGGUCAAAGUCCCCUGGACAAGCCUGUAGAGUGACACCCUCACAGCACCUAGACUGCCUUAGGUCUCCAUGGCCCAUGACAAGCUGGGUACCAGCUUUGGUCUGGUAUGGAGACUGAGCUUGCUGCACUGGUUGACAAUAUCCACCCAGUGAUACAUGAAGAUCAAGUCAUCUGGGCUGGUGCUGUUAGUUCCACCAGCUGCAUUUCCCACAGUCAGCCUUGAGGUGUUGGCAUGUCUGCAGGUGUUGCGCUUGUAGGGAGAUGACCAUAGCAUAUUGUUCUGCUUCCCAAAAAGCGCUUUCAGGGGGAACGGUGCAGGGCUACUGCUUGGUGUGGAAAAAGUCACAUCCAAGAGAUGAUGCGUGUCCAGCCACAGGCACACUGUUUCCUAUAUGCAUUAAAUAUGGACAUUUUGUAGCUGUUUGCAGUACCAAAACAGUCAGGUAGUUGACUCCCAUGACAGACCAUCAAGGGGCAUUGUUUCUGGGAAUCUAUCCCUUGUGAUGACACAGAGCCUGCCUGGAGAGUGAAACUGAAUAGUCACAGAAAGACUAUUGACUUUAAAAUUGACUCAGGAGCUGAUGUUACAGUUAUCUCAGAAGGGACUUACAAUUACGUUCAACCCUGCCCAGAGCUGAAGUCACCUGACACAGCUCUGACUAGCCCUGGAGGUAUUCUGAACUGCAUGGGCCAGUUCACCACAGAAACAAUUUACAAAGACAAAAGCUUUGCAUUCAGAGUGUAUGCGAUCAAAGUACCACAGACCAAUAGCCUUCUCAGCCACAGCAAUGGCAGCCAUGAUGGGCCUAGUGGGAAAGGUGGAAGAACUCAGAGGAUUUGAUGUUAUUGGACUUUUGAAAAGAGAUCCAUUAAGUAAUUCUGAAUGA